AUUUGUCUUAUGAAGCCAGAGCUAAAGCUCUUCCUCAACCUAAAGUAGAGGUGGAUCGACUUCUGAUCACAGAGACUGACUCGGUCACAUUAAAGUGUUCAACCUCAUAUGUUAAUGCUGAUCAGUGUGUUUUCUACAUUGAAAACAAAAAGAUGUCUGCAGCCUCCUCCUGUGUGGAAACACUGACAGGAUCUGAACUGCUGAGGAUGACAGAGAAAAUAUUACCAGCCGAGGUCAAAGUUAAAUGUUCCUACAGUGUAAAAUAUGGAGCUUUAGAUGUUACAUCAACAGACAGUGAAUCAACCAUCAUCUCCAUAAACAACCUUGUUCCACCUACACUGACAGUGAACCCACUGGUGAUCACAGAGACAGACUCGGUCACUUUAGACUGUCAGCCUCCAUCUUCUGUUCCUGUUACUGAGUGUUAUUUCUUCAUUGUUGGAGGAAGUCAAGCUCGGAGGUUUAAUUGUCAGAAAACACUAAAAGGAGGAUAGAUCUUGUCUAUAGCAAAGCAAAGGUCACCUGCU